rnacentral:tmRNA from 1 species
GGGCUUGACCGGUUUUGACAGCGGGCAGAAAUGGUUUGUAAGCAUGCAGUGUGUCGUUGUCCGACACUUUAAUCACGGAUGAUAACCAUUAAUUGGCGAAAAUACUUACGCUCUCGCUGCUUAAUCGAAGUAUAGUAGAUUUGAGGCUUUAUUCCGGCUCAAGGUAGUUGGAACGAGACAUCGCCCGGAGCUGUGGCUUCGAAGCUAACCGAUAAGGCGGUGCAGUAAUAUCGGAGAUAGUCGUGGAUAAUUUCCGGAUUCACGGCGAAAUUCAGGAAAUAAGUUCGGCAUUGGUCGUUUCCGCCGUGUGUCGAAUCGAAAAUUAAAAGGCAACUAAGCAUGUAGAAAGCAAAUUAGUUCCUCGUUUGGACGAGGGUUCGAAUCCCUCCAGGUCCACCC